CCUGCUCUAACGGGGUGCCAUUCAAUCUCUGAAUGGCUGAGAGGCCGCACUCCGGCUAACCCGCUGAACCUGAUCCGGUUUGUACCGGCGGAGGGAUUAGAUGCUGACCGAUU
rfam:Ochrobactrum pseudogrignonense strain K8 chromosome 1, complete sequence.